AGCCUUGUAAUUAUGAUGACCAAAAAAAAAGAGAAUAAAAAUUCAUCAACUCUGGACGUGGUGGGGCCAGCUAAACAUUUGCCAAUAAAUAACGACACUGCCUCGUUAUCUGUUAGCUGACAGGCUGUCAAUCAAUCUCCCUACGUUUCUAGCGUAACUGACUUGCCUGCGCGCCGCCGGUACGUGGUUUACGUACGCCUGUCACGCAGUCCACAGACGCAAGACGCACAGACGCUGUUUACUCCACCAACGCAACAGUUCUUAGCGGCUUUUUUUGACCUAUAUCUUCCUCGCAGUUAGCACAAAGUUUGUUGCAAUGGCGACAAGAAUGCAGGAGCAGUUAGCCGCAAAAGAAAGUCCGUUUUUGAGGUCGCUGAAAGAAGAAGACAAGGGGAAAAGCAGCGAAGCCAAACUAAGGUGAUUCUUGAAGAUUCAUUCCAGCGAUGGCGCAACUGAAGCAGACGCAGGGUCUAAAGACUGACGCAUUGGUCGCCAAAUUACUCCUGGACAGGGCCGAGCCGCGGAGUGGAGAAGGCGGCCAGGGGAGCGUGCGUGGAGGGCUACAACGCUGAAGCCGGGGGGAAGGAGUUGGAUCCAAUGCUCUGCCCUGGAUAAACUCUUCAGCCUUCUUUUUCCUUUUUUUGUUGACAUUUUAGCAACUGUUAAUUGUUUUAGCCCAGGUUCAACAUACUUUUAACUGUAUUUUAUUAUUUUUUUAUUUUACUUAAAGUUGUAAUAAAUUCACUGGGAUUGUUUUUAA